AUGCAUUGGUUCGCGUGGUGGAAAUUCUGUAUACCGAAGAAGAAAGGGGGAUUGGGGUUUAGGGACCUUCACAGUUUUAAUCUUGCUAUGUUAGCAAAACAAUGUUGGCGACUUCUCCAAACCCAGACUAGCUCUUUGUGUGCACAGGUCCUCAAAACAAAAUAUUAUCCAGAUGUAAAUUAGUUAAAAGCUGGCCCAAAGAAAGGAUCUUCAUAUACUUGGCAAAGCAUAGUGGCAGGGAUCCAGACUUUCAAUAGAGGGUGUAUAUGGAGAAUUGGGACGGGAUCUCAGAUUGACAUAUGGAAUGACCCCUGGAUUCCAGCUAGUACAACACGAAAGGUAAUCACACCAAGGGGGUGCUAA
rnacentral:rRNA from 1 species